AUAAGGGUUUUUAAAACCGUCUAGAACCAUGUGCAUGUCACCUUCUGAUUGGAUGAGGGAUUUUUUUUUCAGCCCAAGUCUCUUUCACGACGUUCAUUCUUCCUCUCUCUCUCUCUACUUGGCGAAGGAACCAUCGGUUGAUUAAAUCGGAACAAUUAUGUUCACUCCACCGGCAUCAUCGGUUGAUUAAAUUCGUCGGUUGCUCAAUUCCGUCAAGCUCUACUAUUAAUCAAGCUCUUUUAGGAAGUGAUUUGAUCUCUAGGUUCUAUGAUGUUAGCAGAUUUGAUUUUUUUCUCUGUUUCUAUGUUUUAAGAUGGCUUAGUUGUAGUAAAACAUAUGAUUCUAGGCAACGAUGGAGGAGGCUUCUUCUUCUUCCUUCCGAUUUUUUAGUUUUUUUGUUUGGUUAUUUAAAGUUUUUUUUUCCUCUUCUAUGGUGUCUCUCCGACAACAAGCGAGAGAGAUUUAUCAACGAGAUGACAUCUUUGGAGCAUUCUCUUGCAAGUCUUAUGAUACUUCAGCUGCUCGUUUGUCUUCCCUUAAGUUACUCGUUGUUGAUACCAACGUCGUUCUUCAUCAAAUUGAUUUGUUGGAGAAUCCGACUAUAGACAAUGUUGUUGUUCUGUCUGUGGUGCUGGACGAGGUUAAGAACAUGAAUAGAUCUGUUUACAACAGAAUCAGAGCUCUCUGCAGCAAUCCAGCAUGGGAAAUGUUGUUUGUUAUAUUGAUUAGAUACUCUCAUAUGACCACUGGAACUUACUAAGAUCAAUGGAGAAAGAGAGUGCCAAUGCCCAUAACGAUAGAGAAGCAUCUAGGAGGUACAUCUCAGGUGUUGCUUGUAACUAAUGACAGGAAAAUAAACGCAGGGCCACUGUGAAGGCAUAUUUGCAGAAACAAUUGAGGCUUUUGUUAAAUCACUUGAACAACCGGAAUUGCUGAUCUGCUUGCCCAACCAACCAACGAAGACGUAACUAUGGAAGAUGCAGAUGAUUCUAGAACAUCUAAUAGGAAACUUAGAUACCAAGAGGUAAUGGAGAUGACAUACUUGUUUCUCAGUCUCGGAUUUUGGUAACUAGAUACUGCCAUCAGACUUUUGUCUCCAAUUUUGUUCUUUUUACCUGCUUGCACCAUAAGCCCAUGUUUGAGAUGACUGUUGGCUUACAUCAUGGAAUAAUUUCCAAAAUAAUAUUUAAGCACUCCAAGUUUAAGUACUA